CCUGGUGGGCUGGUCGGGGCGCGGGCAGGGGGGCAUGGUUCUGCCAAGGAUUUUGCUUUGUUUAUCGCAAGAUGGAGGUAUUUCCUCCUUUCUGCAGUUUAUAAUUGCAUGAAUUAGUGCAGUGAAUUGAGGAGGCAACAAAAAUAAUAUCUUCAAAGAUUAUUAAAUUCAUUAUUAUAAAACACAUACGAGUUUACGUGUAUGUAUAGAAAGCAGGUAUACAUCAAAAAUUCUUAAUGAAUACAAGAAAGAGAACUACCAAUACUGGAGCAAAUUUUUCAAAUACAAACAUCAGUGAAUAUAGGCAAGGCCUUUUAUUAUUAUUACUAUACUUUAAGUUCUAGGGUACAUGUGCACAACGUGCAGGUUUGUUACAUGGGUACACAUGUGCCAGCAACGCCUUUUCAAUAAUGUCUUACAAGGAGAAACGUGGCUCCUCUAGGUAAACAGCCCUCAGUGCGCAUCUCCCUGAAGUCCAGAUGGAUCCGGUAGAGCUGUGGGGUUCACAGCUCACACUGAGGCAUUUAGGGCCUAAACGCCACUUUACUUUUUUGUACAGUGAGUAGGAAAUCAGUGAUCUAAAUGAGUUUAAAUCUUAUUAGGGAUUCGAACUGCGCUUCAGACUCUGUCUCUAUUCCUCCCAGAGCUAGAUUCAACAUGAAUUAAAAUACAAAUAUAAAACAAUGAAUUAUGAUAGUGACAAAGACCUUCCUUCGAAUUUCAGAUUUUUCCAGCAGCCCCUUUCUGUUUCCCACCUGCUUUCAACUCUCUCCUAAAAAAGUUCAGUUGGGGUGAAUGUUUGGUGACGUAGAACAUCAUUAUUUUAACAUGAUCCCAAAGCGGUUUUCAUUAUAUGCAAAGAUGCAUAUUUAUUUACAUUUUUAAAAAUGUUCUAAAUUGGUUUCUUAUGUCCAAAAGAAGGGGAGCUAGUUAUAAGAAAAGAGAAUUGAGUAAGGUAAGAAAGUGCUAAUCAUUUCAAAUCAAAGUGGGAAACAUGCAAAGCAGAAAGAAUCAACUUCAUAAACUCAACAAAUUAUUAACGUAAAUAAUUCCCAACUCCUGUAUCUAUAUAACAUCAGUGAUCUGUGAGGUGAACUGAGAUUCUGAAUAAAAAGUAAAUAAUAAGGCCAUUUUUCUAAGCCAAAAAAGUUUUUGUCUUAUUAAUUGUGGGAUUUCACCAAUUAAUUUUUUUCAAAUAAAAUUUCUUAAACUUUUAGUGCCUACUAUUGCUUGUGGGUUAAUAAACCCUAGCAGAAAACAAAAUCAUCAAGGAAAUGGUAAACAUUAAUGGGAAAUUUGUGUAACCUUAAUAACGUGUCUUGUUAAUUACUUUUUAAAAUGUGAAGGUGUAUUCUUGGUGUUUGGUAAUUAACUAAGUUUAUUAACCUCUCACAAAUAUGAGGAAUUUUAUUCCCUAAAGGAACGUGAGGAACACUAGUAGUUCAAGAAAAUGCUGAAGGUGACCUUGGCUGAGAAGCUAGGAUAGGCUGACGAAGUCAGACUUUGUGUAGGAACCUGGCUGGGAAAGGGUUUCUUCUGGCCAUAAAAACUACCCCAAUGGCUGUGGCAGACUAAAUUCCAAUUCCGGUUGAUACAGCCAUCAAUCUCCCGCUAGCUGUAGGAUGGUGUGCUGCAGUUCACAGACCUAAGUCAAUGUUAGUCUACCACUGUACAUCUGGUAACCUCAGUCCCUGCAAUUGGGGCAAAAUGGGAUUCCAGGUCUUGCCAACCUUUGAAAUUCCAAUUCCAUUUGAGAGAGCUUUUAGGAGGCCAUAUGCUGAUUUCACCACCAGCAACUUCACAACCCAGUACUGGAAUGCCAUCAGCCACCAGGCCCCUGCCAUCAUCUAUGACUUCUAUCUGUGGCUCACUGGAAGGAAACUCAGCUACUGAAGGAAGAUAUCCUCAUCAACCCAAUUUUACAAAUGGAGAAAUAGAAGCUAAGGGAAGAAUCUGAAGUAGUCUCAAAGGAAGUGACAGGAAGGAUAUGGAGAAAGCAGAGUGUCAAAGUCAGUAUUCAGGACCAGAUUUACUGCCACCUAGAGAUGAAUGAAGAAAUUAGAGGGAACACAGUGUGCUGAUGCUACGUCAGCUGUCACCACCUGGCUGUGUGACAUAGGACAUAUUCUUUCUCAGUCUCACUUGAAUAAUAAUAUGUGUCAGAGGAGACAUUAUUGUAAUUGCCUAAAGCAAUUCUUGUGAUCAAGAAUCAGAAGCAUGAACAGUAUUGCCCUCUGUGUUAGCCCCUUUAUGAGGGAGGAAGUUGUCUUCAGCAUGUUGAAUUGUCAUCUUUAUUAGCAGUGCAAAUGACUAAAACUUAGCCAAUGUAGAGUUUAUCCAAAUCUUUUCAGACCUCAUUUGGAGCUCAUAACUCAGUUCUUGAGCAAAGGGAAAAGAAAACAUUGUGAUUAUGGGGAAAAUAUUUGUGUGGGACUUAUUAAGUAAAGAUAGGAAAAGAAGAACACCCAAAUAUUAUAGGCAGAAAUGCUAAAGGUUUUAAAAUGUGUCAGGAUUGGAAGAAGGCCUGGAUAAAGAACAAAGUUCAGUUAGGAAAGAGAAACACGGAAGGAAGAGACACAAAAAAAGUCAUUAUGUAUUCUGCGAGAAGUCAGACAAUAAGAUUUGUGGGAAAUGGGUUGGUUUGUUGUAUGGUAUGUAUUUUAGCAAUAAUCUUUAUGGCAGAGAAAGCUAAAAUCCUUUAGCUUGUGUGAAUGAUCACUUGCUGAAUUCCUCAAGGUAGGCAUGGUGAAGGAGGGUGUAGAGGAGACACAGGUACAAUGAACUGACCUAGAUAUAAAGCCUUAGUAUACACUCAGCUAGAAAUAGUGAUUCUGAGGACAUACUGUGACAUGAUUAUGUCAUUAUGUGUAUGGUAGUGAUGGGGAUGAUAGAAAGAAGAACUGAUGGCAUAUUUUCACUUCCCCUCAAAAUCAGUUAAAUAUUGGGACACUAUCCAGGUCUAGAAGAGUCACACGCCAUAGCCAUGGUAUGGCGCAUCAUUCAUCUUGCUUUCUUUGAGAAUAAGAAGAUCAGUAAAUAGUCCAGAAGUGGGAAGCUUUGUCCAGGCCUGUGUGUGAACCCAAUGUUUUGUUUAGAAAUAGAACAAGUAAGUUCACUGCUAUGGCAUAACACAAAAUUUGCUUAAGUGGUGGUCAGCAAAUCCUUGAAUGCUGCUUAAUGUGACAAAGUUGGUAAAAUCUUUUGUGCAACACUCUUACUCCCUGAAUGUUUUGC